UACGUAGGGGGCGAGCGUUGUCCGGAAUUAUUGGGCGUAAAGAGCGUGUAGGCGGUUCGGUAAGUCCGCCGUGAAAGCUUGGGGCUCAACCCCAAGUUUGCGGUGGAUACUGUCGGACUAGAGGGUGGUAGAGGCGAGUGGAAUUCCCGGUGUAGCGGUGAAAUGCGCAGAUAUCGGGAGGAACACCAGUAGCGAAGGCGGCUCGCUGGGCCAUACCUGACGCUGAGACGCGAAAGCGUGGGGAGCGAACAGG
rnacentral:rRNA from 1 species